AUUGAACGCUGGCGGCAGGCCUAACACAUGCAAGUCGAACGAGUGGCGGACGGGUGAGUAAUGUCUGGGAAACUGUCCGAUGGAGGGGGAUAACUACUGGAAACGGUAGCUAAUACCGCAUACCAUCGGAUGUGCCGAGAUGGGUUUAGCUAGUAGGUGGGGUAAUGGCCCACCUGGGCGACGAUCCCUAGCUGGUCUGAGAGGAUGACCAGCCACACUGGAACUGAUACACGGGCCAGACUCCUACGAGAGGCAGCGGUGGGGAAUAUUGCACAAUGGGCGCAAGCCUGAUGCAGCCAUGCCGCGUGUAUGAAGAAGGCCUUCGGGUUGUAAAGUACUUUCAGCGAGGAGGCGUUACUCGCAGAAGAGGCACCGGCUAACUCCGUGCCAGCAGCCGCGGUAAUUC
rnacentral:rRNA from 1 species